GGAGGGGCAGCCUAAGGAUAAUUCUAGUCAUCUUUCACGAAUUCAUUCAUCAACAUUUGGUGAGCACUUGCUGUGUGCCAAGGGCUGUUCCGGGCACCGAGCAUACAGCAGGGAACACAGAGUCAAACUUUGUGCCCUCAUGGAGCUGGUGAUCCAGUGGGGGAGACAGAUGCCGACGGGAGGACCCGCCCCGUCCCCUCCUUGGCCGCCCCUCGCUCACUCGGCUCCAGCACCCGGGCCUCCUGGCCGUUGCUCCCACACGCCAGGCCCGGCGCUGCCCCAGGACCUUUGCACGGGCUCUGCCUUCUGCCCGGACCCGCUCAGUCUCUCACGUGGCUUCCGAAUGACUUACUGAACUUCUAAGCACCGCUCUGGCUCUGAUAAGGUGAGAGGAGCCCAGGGACGCAUGUCUGAGCACAGACGAGGCCUGAGCGCGCCCCCUCAGAGCAACCCCCGGCGCCCCCAUAUUAGGAAGCCCCAGCAGAAGGACCGCUGCAAGGGAGCGAGGCGCCGGAUUAGAGGGACCUGAGGGACCCACCCCUAACGCUUUCCUCGGGCCAAUGGGCUCCCCCUGGGGGUGUGGCCUGACUCGUCGGGGCCUCCCAUUGGCCAGGACGUACCCAGCUUCCCCGGAUAGGCCGCGCGGCGGGGCGCAGUCUCCACCCGGGCCCGCCCUCUCGCCCGGCCGUGCCCUGCCCGGGAUUCCACCGCCUGUCCCGGUGCCCACUUCUGAGUUGCUUUUUCUCUCCUGGCGGUGCCCGCGGGCCGAGGCGGCGGCCCUGCCCGGGCACGCCGGCACGCCGCCCUCCGAUGUUGCAACAGCGGCCUGCCCUGGGCUCCUUCUGCCGGUUCCUGGAACCCAGGCACGGCCGGGGUGCGGACUGCUCAGCCCCCCCCCCCCCCGGGGCGGGCCCGGAGCCCCGCACGGCGCGGAGGCCCGAGGCCGCGGCAGGGGCCGGCUCUCUGAGCCUCACACGCCGACCCCGCUGCCCUGGGUGCUCCUGAGACUGGACGUUUAUUGCGCACCUACUGUGUGCCGGGUCCGACGCAGCCGUUCCUACGCACCCAUUUCACAGAUGCACACACCGUGGCACCCGCCCAGGGUCACACUUUGCACCUGAGGCCACCUCAAGGCCGGCUCCCGCCCGGGGCUCGGUCCCUUUCCCGGUGACCGCUGUACGCGCCCCCGCCCCCCCCCCCCCGACCGCCCCGGCUGGCCCGAGAGCAUGCGCGGUACGUGCUCCCGGGGCCCAGCCCCCCCUCGCUUGUCUGGAACAGCGCCGCCUGUUGGCCCACCCGGGGGCCGUUCCCCGCGUC